rnacentral:lncRNA from 1 species
GGGAUAGGUGGCAGUGUUAUUUCCAACACAACUCUGCAACUCAGAAAACAUAAAGGGUCUCUCUAAUACCACCUUUUUCUAGACAAUCUAGGUUACUCACCCUUUACUUACCUCUCUUCUGUGGUUUAAAUGAUAUGUAUCCCCUUAAGAAAAAACUCCUCCUGGGAGUUCAUAAGGCUAUUUUUCAUCCUGGCCCAUAAGAAAAAGUUGCUUGCACUUCUCUUACUAAAAACUGAAGAGCCACAAGAGAAAAUUAGCUUCUCUUACAGGGCUAAGAUAAAAUAAUACCAAAUAUAUUUUCAUUCAUUUUUAUAUUUUAGUAAAGUUAUAGAUCUGUGAUAUAAUACCUUUGUGAUUUUAAAUAUAUCUAAUCCCUCAGGGGUAUUUUAUCCUUUUAUUUUCCCCACCCUCAGACCUGCCCACAUUUCCACCAUACUCUGCUUAAAUAUUGUCUGGCCUAAUGCCAUGUUUAUUGAGAAGGAAGUGAACUUGAUCAAGUCAGGGGCAAAUGUGAGACUGAGGGCCCUGACUACUAGUACUUGCUCUUUCCACAGCAUGAUCCUGUGUCUCCAUUUCUGGAGGUAUUAUUAGGUUUGGAAGGCUGAAGAAUUACGUACAGACUGGAUGGAAGCUGGAAAAGAAGCCAGUUGCCUUAUUGUAAGAAGCUCUGUGGAGAGGCUCACAGUGUGGAGAACUGAAGCCUUCUACCAACAGCUGUGUGGGUGAUUUUGGAAGUGGAUCCUCCACUAGCAAGCCGUAGAUGACAGCAGACCCAGCUGACACCUUGACUGUAACCUCUUCAGAGACCCUGAGGCAGAACCUGAGCUAAUCUGCUCCUGGAUUCCUGGCCCGCAGAAACUAUUAGGAAACUGAGGCUCAGAGAGAAAAAGUGACUUGUCCAAGAUGAGCAACCACGACCCAAACAAAAGAUUCUUGAGUGAAGCCCAGCACCCUGUUUCUUCAGUUAUUCAAAUCAUAUGGUUGCUCAGCUACUUAAAGCUACUUUCUAUGUACUUCACAGUUGUUAUUUAAUUCCCUGUGACAUUAAGAACACAGUUGUCAUUUAAUUCUCUGUGACAUUAAAGAGAGACUAAUUUCCAAAGAAAAAAAAUUAAUAUUCACAAAGCCAAAUGGGAGAAAAAAAUGCCUACUUCUGGUCUAUGGGAACUGCUUAGUUUGCUGUACCUUCAAACCUGUUUCUGAGUGUUGCCAAUGGAAGAGUGGAAGAUGGGGAAACAUGGAAAGGGUGGUGGUUAAGGAGGGCCCAGGGAGCCUCUGCAGCCCUCCUUAUUCUUUUUCUCUGUACCUGAGCCCAGUUCUCCCACCUGGCAUGGCUCUACAACCAUGAAACCCUGAUGCCCUCACAUGCAUAAGAAGCCCUGACAAAGUGGAUGUGGAUAUUUCUCUCACUCUGCAAAAUGAGACUCACGAUGACCUGCAAUGUGAUGCUUCUUUGGGCCAAAAAAAAAAAAAAAAAAAAAAAAAACACAAAAAACCACCCAAUUGCUUUCAGGUUGCCUGACUCACAGGGCACCUUGAUGCUCUGGCCAGGGACACUGAAGACUGAAUCACCUAGCUUGCCUUUGCAGAAACUAUUUACUAAUAUGUCAUUUCAUUUCUGUCUUUUUCCAACCUUAAGCUUUAUGUGCCCCUCAUCCACAGCAUGUCCUUGCCGCCCAUGCCUCUACUCCCAUGCAUAAAAGGAGGCGUAGGCAAAUGUACAUGGAAGUCUCUUUUCAACCUCUGCAGGGGAUUGUAGGUGAAAUAUACUAUUGCCCACACUUAUGUACAAGGAUACCCUAUGAUAAGCAUUACUGGGAUUAAGAAAUAUUGAGCGGUAUUUCUAUCUCUGAAAUUCUAUUGUCUCUCCCACUUAGAGAAGACUAUUACAAGUCAGCUACGAUAGGACUUUUUUUCUCCAAAGUUGUGACAUUGGAAAUCAGGACUCCCCUUACAAACCCAGGUAGCUGAUUUGUUUAAAGGACACAUAGUAUUUUCCUAGAGAAUUGGAGCAAGAACAACAGGGUAGAAGCCCUGCAGACCUGUUUGAGUGCAGAAGACACGGACAAAGCAUAUCCGUGUUCCCAUCCACUGAACAGGCAGCAGCUAAUAAUGUAAUGAAUUCUCUUCUGUCAUCCUAAGCUUUUGGUUGUCGUUGAAGUACUCUUCUGAACUCCACCUAUUAUCAUUUAAUGAGUGUUUGCUAUGUUUCCAGCUCUGUGCUUUUUUUUACAUCUGCUAUUCAUUCUCUUUCCAAAGCUGUAGCCCCACGGUCUCAUAGUUAAAUAAUUCAGAUGUUUUGAGUUAAAUAGGUUUUUACAACAAGACUUUUCAGAGCUAGUGGAAGGUCCAUGUGUGUAGUGAAUCUUUGGGAAGAUUUAUUUGGUAUAUAUUAUUUCCCAGAUUUUUUCAAGGGCGUCUCAUAAGACAUGUUUAGUUCAGAAGAUGCUACUGAGGUCUCAGAGACUGCUAUCUCUUUCUCUGUUAUGAGUUGAGUUGUGUCUUCUUAAAAAAGACAUGUUGAGGUCCAUACACUUUAGAGUGCGACCUUUUUUGGAAAU